rnacentral:lncRNA from 1 species
GAUGUUUGAGCUCAUAACCUGCACCCUAGGUGUUAGUGCUUAUUUUAUUCACCACACCGCACGCUCGCCUUGGAUCCAAGUAGGUGGAUGUCGUACAGACCAUGUGAGGGUUCCGACAUGCCAGUCGUACAGACCAUUAGAGGGGUUCCGACUGGUGGGUGACCUUAGAUAUGCGCGCUGAUGAUAUGAUGAGAGAAGCACUAGAGCGUAUUUUUACACCUAUCAUCGUAUAGACUACCUUACGUAGUUCCGAGUGAUGUGCAGAGUAGGGCCGUAUAGGUCACUGUGGUGACUCCGGCUUAGUGAGAUAUUGAGCUAUUGAAUUAAUCGUAUAGGACCAACUGCAGGGUCUCCGAUUGAUUCCUUAUUUCACCUGAUUUAUAUUUUGAUUUAUGGCAUGACAUGUUUUUCUUGAAAAAUGUUAAAGAUUUGGAAUUCAAGUUUUGAGAUUUCAUAUGGUUUUAUAUAUAUAUAUAUAUAUAUUUUUUUUUUUCUGAAAAGUGUUAAAGGUUUGAGAUUUGAGAUUUUUGCUUAUAUAUAUGUUUAUAUAUAUGCUAUUUUCUGGGAAAGUAUACAGGUUUUACGGUGAGGGGUUAGAAAUGUUUUAAAUGAAAAGUUUUCGAAAAACUUUGUUUUACUGACCCACUCAAUUUUGUUUUGCGCCCCUCCAGGUUCAAGUUAGCAGAGCUUUGGUGGCCACGAGGAAUCCAACGGUGUUCUGACAUAAUUCACAAAAGUAGGACUCACCCUCGGAUGUGUUAUCUUAGUAAUUGGAAAUUUUUUUAAAGCUUCCGAACUGUGUAAAUGGUUACGUCACUCUCACGUGACGGCCAGCACGCCCUCCUUCGGGACGGGGUGUGUCAGUUGGUAUCAGAGCCUAGGUUGCAAUUCUGGACAUCUUGAGAAUUUCCUAGUGUUUUCUGUCAGAACUAUACCGCCUCGUAGCGAGCCACGUAGUUCGGAUGAGCCUAAAUUCCCUGAUAUAGUAGUUUGGGGGGGAACUAUUGCCAUUGUGAUUCAGUCUAUUAUCUAAAGGAACCUUGAGACUGGUUAUAAGUUAAAUUUGAAUACAGACUUGCCUUGUUUCCAUUCGGAUGUUGUUACUAAUCCGGUCGAGGUGUUAUGUCGUUUUUGGCUGGAUAAUAAGAAGAAGUGACGUUCUUUGGCGACCACAAUCCAUUGUACUUUUUACCAAGAGUUUACGAGAUGUUGUUGGGCUUUAAAGACUUUGAGAAUAUGAUCAGCGAGAGUAAAGAGGAAUAAGAAAGGAAUGAGAAUCAGAAUAAGACGAUAAAGUUAAAGAUUCGUCAUAUCAAAAGACCUCGGAGGACUCAGAGCUUCAAAGGAAGUGAAAUUAGAGCUAAUUUUCCCAGCUUAGGUUUUACUGCCACUGGUCAGAGGCGAAGUGAUAGAUUUACUAGUGAUCCCAGAUUUUUGAGACAAGAUGACUCUGGUAGAGGAAAUGUAUAUUUGUGCCAUAGGUAUAAUAUUAGACACUUUGGAGAGUGUGGGAAUCAGUGAAUGUGUUCAUGUGGACGGAUGGGACAUAGAGGUAUGAAUUGUCCCUGAGAUCAGUUGUUACCCAACAGUCUUCCUUAACAUAUCACUUGGAAAAUUGACGGGUAAGUCGUACAGGUCACUAUAUGUGACUUCGACUUAUGAGCUAGCAUGGAUAGUCAAGUUGUAGACUCAGUCGCACAGGUCAUUCUAGCUGACUCCAACUGAUAUAUUUCUUAUUAUGGAUGAUGUUGCCAAAGAAAGUAAUGUUGGAGCACGAUCGAGGCGUAUUUAUGUAUUUCUAAGGAAGAACAAGAUAAUAUUACACAUUCAGGAAUUGUUACUUACUUAUCGAGACAACAUUGGGUUAUUUGUAUUGCGGGCUGCAUACCGUAAUAUUUAUAACUUAUUUGUUGGAUUCGUUAAGCAAGUAAACACGUAGGUCAUCCUACGUUAGUAUGGUGCUAUUUAGGGUGUCCGGUGAUGGUGAAAAAUGUCAUGUCGGUGAAUUUUAUUCCGUUGGAUAUUGUGGAUUUUGAGGUGAUUUUUGGCACAAAGUGGGUGCAGAAUAAAUUUGCCAAGCUAGAUUGCUAUGGCGAAUCAGUUAAUUUUUGUCGACCUGGAUGACCAUAGGUUACUUUUGGGGGUAAGUAAAGUGGAGUGAGUCAUGCCAUUAUUCAUGUUGAGAGAGCAAAGAAGAUUGUUAUCAAAAGGCUGCCAAGAUAUUUAGUUCAUAUGGUGCUAAAUGAUGUUGAUCCUAAUAGUAUGGAAGAUGUAAAGAUGGUUAGACAUUUUCCUGGUGUAUUUCCAAAUGACUUACCUAGAUUACCGCCAGGCAGAGAUGUGGGUUCCAUUAUUGAAUUGUUUUUAGGUACAAAUCCUAUGUUAGAGAUUGGUUCAGGUUGAGUUAAAAGUUCCAUUCAACUUAUUAUAUCACAUUGGAAAAGCUUCGGUUUAUUUGUGAGGAAGAAAGUGGACAUUAAGGCUAGGCAUUGAUAUUAGGUAAUUGAAUCGGGUAACGAUUGAGAGCUGUUAUCCAUUGUUGUGUAUUGAUGAUUAUUUGAUCAGCUCUGAGGCGCCUGGGUACUUUCUGAGAUUGACUAGAGGUCUGAAUGAUAUUAGUUGAAGAUUAACAGUGAGGAUGUUCAUAAGACUGAAUCCAGGACUCGUUAUGGUCAUUUCAAGUUAGGAUGCCAUACGGAGUGACGAAUGCACCUGCUACUUUUAUGAGUUUGCUGAAGGAAGUAUUCCAGUGAUAUCUGGACCGGGUUGUUAUUGUUUGCCAUUGACGAGAUUGAUAAGAUUAGAGCAGUGCAUGCUAGAUAUUUAAAGUUGGUGUUGCAAAGAUUGAGGGAACGUUGAUGUAUGCUAAGUUUAGCAAAUGCUAAUGUUGGAUAAAUUAAUUAUAUCUACUUAAGGUAUUCAAAUGGAUUCUUAAAAGAGUAGCAACGAUUGAGAAUUUGGAACAAUUGCGAACUGUGACUGAGGUUCAGAGUUUUCUCGGAUUAGCAGGAUAUUGUCGAUAGUUCGUCCAAGAUUUUAAUUAUUGCUUCGCCCUUGGCGAGAUUGAUGAGAAAAGAGGUUAAGUUUGAGUGGGAUGAAAAAUUAUAAGUAGAGCUUCAGCAAGUAAAGUAUUCCCUCACUCAUGCAUCUGUUUUCACACUCCCAGACGAUAGUGGUAAUUAUGUGGUCUAUAGUAAUACUUCUUUGAAUGUUCUUGAAUGCGCGUUGAUGCAGCAUGGUAGGAUGAUUGCCUAUGCUUCAUGGCCAUUGGGAUCUCAUAAGAUGAAUUACCCUACGUGUGAUUUGGAAUUGGCGGCUAUCAUUCUUACUUUGAAGUUAUGGAGACAUUAUAUUAUUGGUGAGAAAUGCAAGAUUUUAAUGAAUCAUAAGAGUCUCCAAUAUAUGUUUACGCUGAGAGAUAUUAAUCUUAGGCAACAAAGGUGGAUUGAGUUGCUUAGUGAUUAUGAUUGUGCGACUAGGGUGGUCGAGCUAAUAUUGUGGCUGAUGCAUUUAGUAGGAAGACCCCAGUGAGAAUUAAUGCUUGGUACGCUUGCUAUGUUCAUCUUCUUCUUGUGGAUUUGAAAUCUACUGGAGUAAAGUUGGGUAUCGAAAAAUCGAGAAGAAGCCUUAUUUGCUAAUUUCCAAGUUGGACCCAUUUGGUAGAUCGUACUCGAGACUCAAGCGUUUGACGAAGAAAUUCAAGAAUUUAUUUAAAGCAAGGAAUAACGGGAAAAAGAAAGACCUUAGAGUUAGAGAAUCAGAUGACAAGCUUAUGCAAGGGAACAAAGUGUUUAUGCCUAAUGGUGUGGAAUUAAAGAAAGCAAUUUUGACGAUGUACAUUAUUCCACUUCUACAAUGCAUCCCGAAAGUACUAAGAUUUAUCAUACCAUUCGUUCAUGUACUAUUGACGGGUAUGAAAAGAGGAAUGGCGAAGUAUGUUAGUAGGCGUAUCAUCAGUCAUCAGGUUAAAGCAGAAAGAAAUAAGUCUUUUGGAAUAAUGUAGUCAUUUCCCAUUCCACGGCGGAAAUGGGAGAAUAUUACUAUGGAUUUCGUGGACAAGCUUCCUCGUAUACAAAAUAGUUAGGUUGGAAUUUGAAUAAUAAUUGAUCGACUUGUGACGUCAGCGUAUGUUACUUCAGUAUGAGAACAUCAACCUUUCCAGAUAAGCGCAACAGUUAUUUAUUUGUUUUAUGGAAAAAGGAGAUUGGGAUCUGUUAAACUUCUUGGGUAUGUUGGUCCCUUCAGUUUGUUCCCUAGAGUAACGCCAUAAGGCCGUGGAAAGCUAUGUCUUGUGUUUUCGAAAUUGUUAGAAUUGGGGACGGAUGAUAUUCAAGACUCUGAGUUUGGUGAAAAUUUAUGGAGGAAUCUUUCAGUGGAAGAAACUACUUGAAAGUCAGAGAAUCGAAUGAGAGAGAGAGUUGUGUUUCGGGCUGUUUUAUGGAUAUUGCUGGAUUGUAAAGAUUGUGUAAAUUUCGGGGACGAAAUUUCUUUAAGGUGGGUAGAUUGUGACAGCCCGUCCCUAAUUUUAAGAAUUUUUAAAGUUUUCAUAAAGGAUUUUACAAAAAAUGCCCUUUGAAGGUACGUGCAUUAUUCGAGGUUAAUCACCAUGUCGUGCCAUCUAAGAUUUGUUUUCUUGACAUAUCCCCGUAGUACUCGUCGUUACGGACGCGUGGGCGCAGACGGUUCGUGAUUUGGAGUUAUAUCGAAGAAGUUAUUAAAGUUUGAAGUUGGGAUUUUAAGGAAUUAUAAUUUUAGUAAAAUAUAGAAAUUCUUUUAUGAAAAUGGACGGCCCAGAUUUAAUGAUGAAUGAAAUGGAUGGUUGGGAUGAGAGAAAGUUUUGUGUGUGUGUGUGUGCGUGAGAAGAAAACAGAAAAGAGAGAGGGAUUGGGCAAAGCUGCCCAAUCGGAGAAGAAGGAGGAGAGACCGAAUGGGGAGAAGAGAGAGGGAGAAGCUGACCAACUAGAGGAAGGAAAGGAGGAAAGGAGAGAGGGCGAGAAGCGGAGGAGAGAAGGAAGAAAUGGGUUUUUCCCCAACCCGUAUACCCGCGCGACCCGCGACUUCCAAUCGGCGGGUUUUCGCCAUUUUCGUCCAAUUUUCCGACGAAUUGAAUCAAGGGUACCACUCCUAAUCAUCAUCUAGGCCUUCCCUCUUCACGUUUCACCCCAAGAAUCAUUGAAUUUCGUUGUGAUUUCGCGAAGAACACCCCUACGGGUGCCGCGACCCUUUUGUUUAAAUUCUCCAAAUUUUGAAAUGUUUUCUUUCAAUUACUAACACCAUUAGCAUUCCCUUAGGACCUAAAACAAAGCCCAAGAGGUAAUUGAGGCGUUGGAACAAGUUUGAAGGUCGAAUUGGAAACACCCAAUUCUAGGGUUCUUCACGGUUUUGGUGAAAUUGAAGCACUUCCAGGCCAAAUUGGCCUUGGCCUCAGGUAUGAAAGUUGUUCUACUCAUUGAGAUCUUCAAAUCUGCAAAUUUUAGUAAUUUUUGGAAAUAGUUGAAUUUUCCGGCGAGCCGGGGCGGCCAACCGCCACCCGCGGCGGCCCGCGCGGCGGUGCGUGGCCAAUGGCCCGCCAAUGUCAUUAUUAGCUUGUGAUUAAGGUUCUAGGUUCUGUUUUGAUAAUUGAUGGACGUAAAUUGAAUAAUUGAACCUAAGUUGGUUACGAUUCGUGGUUAGGUAAAAAUGUGAAUUGACGAUCCGACCGUUGGAUCGUCACCAAACUUUGAUACGUUGUAAUACGUAAUAUUUGAGGAUUAUAGGAACUUACGGAUUGAGAAUCCGAUUUACGGAUCUUCCGGAAUUGAAGUUGUAAGUUCAUAAAAUAGAAUGUUAACCGUCACUUAGUUUUGGAAAUUGACGGAGAUCCGACCGUUGGAUGGUAAUGAAAUUUUAGGAUGUUGUCCUAGAGGUAUAUUGUGGACCUCUGGAAGUUACGGAUUUGAAAUCUGAGUUGCAGAUCAUCCGGAUCGAAUUACGUAGUGACGUGUCUUAUAUAAGUUAUGUAUUCUAUCGGCAGGAUUUCUGAGGUUGGGUUUGAUUAUUGUUCUAGGCGCUAAUCUUCAUGAUGCCUUGAUGUGUGGUGCUAGGGAGUUGUUGGGCGAACUCCAGGUGAGUGGGCAGUUUUGUUUUGUAUUACCUUAUAUACUAUUGAUUUUUCCCAGAAAAUGAAUUUUAUGAAAAUUAUGUUUUAAAAAUGCCAUGCAUAGAAUUAUUUGGAAAAUGUGAAUUUCAUAUGAGUUAUAUGAUUGAUAUAUGAUGCAUACAUGUUGCAUGGUGCUGUGGAGGCACAGGUAAGUCAGGUGAGUUCAUUUAUUCAUUGAAUUGUUGUUGAGAUGUUUUGAGCUCAUAACCUGCACCCUAGGUGUUAGUGCUUAUUUUAUUCACCACACCGCACGCUCGCCUUGGAUCCAAGUAGGUGGAUGUCGUACAGACCAUGUGAGGGUUCCGACAUGCCAGUCGUACAGACCAUUAGAGGGGUUCCGACUGGUGGGUGACCUUAGAUAUGCGCGCUGAUGAUAUGAUGAGAGAAGCACUAGAGCGUAUUUUACACCUUUCAUCGUAUAGACUACCUUACGUAGUUCCGAGUGAUGUGCAGAGUAGGGCCGUAUAGGUCACUGUGGUGACUCCGGCUUAGUGAGAUAUUGAGCU